rnacentral:lncRNA from 1 species
CCAGGUGAUAAAUCCAAUUAGAGUACUUGGCUAUUUAGAAAUUAACUAGAUCUAAUCUACUACAUAUCAUAUAUGUAAAAUCUAGUUCUAUACAUAUCACAUAUAUAAGAACUACAUUAGAUCUAGCUAACACAUACUGAAAAAUAAAUCUAAACUACUUUAGAUCUACUGACUACAUUAGAUCUCAUCUGAUCAGAUCU